rnacentral:rRNA from 1 species
UACGGGGGAUGCAAGCGUUAUCCGGAAUCACUGGGCGUAAAGCGUCUGCAGGCGGUUUCCUAAGUCCACUGUUAAACCUUGAGGCUCAACCUCAAAUCUGCAUUGGAAACUAGGAGACUUGAGUAUAGUAGGGGUAGAGGGAAUUUCCAGUGGAGCGGUGAAAUGCGUAGAUAUUAGAAAGAACACCGAUGGCGAAGGCACUCUACUGAGCUAUUACUGACACUCAGAGACGAAAGCUAGGGGAGCAAAUGGG